rnacentral:rRNA from 1 species
GACGAACGCUGGCGGCGCGCCUAAAACAUGCAAGUCGAACGAGAAGCCCGGGCUUGCCCGGGUGGACAGUGGCGAACGGGUGAGUAACACGUGAGGAACCUGCCCCGAAGACCGGGACAACAUCGGGAAACCGUUGCUAAUACCGGAUGCCCUCGAAGAAUCGCAUGGUUCAUCGAGGAAAUGGAUUCCGCUUCGGGAUGGCCUCGCGGCCUAUCAGCUUGUUGGUGAGGUAAUGGCUCACCAAGGCUUCGACGGGUAGCUGGUCUGAGA